rnacentral:lncRNA from 1 species
UGCAAUCAGACAAAGUACAAGAAUCUGUAUAGCAAUGCGGCAUACAUAUCUGCAUACCUUCAAGCACUUAGUACCACUUGAAAACCAAACUUAUGGAUUGCAGUAUGCAAGCGAGUACAAGGUUAAUUUCCAAUGCAUAUACAGCAAUCAAAUUAAAAAAAAAUGUACAGUGAUUGACACAAUCAAACAAACAGCUCAAUCAUGUUCCAUGUUAGCAAUGGCCUGUUAGAACUAAAAUGGUGCGUACAGAUUGCAUUUUACCAUUCAUUUUGUAUGCAAAUGAAUUUACAAUAAUUUACUUUGUUGGUUUGUCCAUUACAAAUGAAACGGCUGCCACCUGUGGACAUGGCUCAAAAUAGCCCAGCAAACUUCUACUGCCACUUAUGGGCACAGCCACAAUAUACCUGAUCUUUCGUGUUGGUAACUUAACUUUCACCUUGUACUACUGGUGAUUAUAUGAAUAGUUUCAUGAACUACCUGAUGAAUCAGGCAAUUAUACAAGCCAAAUGCACGAACACAGUUGGCUUCCAUUAAUUUGACGUUAGGUUAACCAUAUUUUCUUUUCAACUCAACCCUGUUUUAAUGCACCAAAAGGGGCUUGUGCAUUUUAAACAUUUCAUCUAAUUCAGAUUUUUGUGUAAUGCAAAUUUGGGUCCUACUGGGGUAAAAUUAUUGCAAGUUGUCAGUACUACAGUCUGAAAUUAGAUCUCCGUGCAGGAAGUGAGCUAUUCUGAGCCUAGUUAAUAAGGAAGUCGGGCCAGGUAUAACAACAUCUCAGAUUCUUUAGCAACUUAUAAGUCAGAAUUGCUGUUUAGCUGUUUGUUGAAACAUGUGGUUCACUUUAUACAUAUAUAUGGCAGAGUGAGUGAAGGCUCUGUAGACUUCAUACAUGUACACCUGACCACAAAAAGGUUUUGGAGCAUGUAAGUUAUGGAAAAUGUUCAAUUAUGUUACUGCUUUAGCAAAAGGUGAGGAGCUUCAAAUUUGACAGUACUAGGUUUACAAAAGUAUAUUUAAUUAAAUUUGGAAGGUAUAAAUCAUAAGAUGCAAUUUUACAUAAAUAAAAAGAAAUAAAUAUCUUAUUUCAAUAACAAAAGAUCUUAUAGCCAGAGUUGUUACAUUUGUCUCCAAAAGGUGGCACUGUCACAGCCCAACUAAUGUCGCAACACAAAUGAAGCACCACCUGCCAAAUGUAACCAACUUUUUUUGUUUAUAAAUAUAUCGUUUUCAGGUACAUUCCUGCAAAAAACACAUGUUGCUACAGCCUAUACUAUGCAAAUUUAUUUAACCUUUUACUUUUUCUAAUACUUUAGGAUCUGAAAACAGCACACCUCCCUUUCAGGUAUGAACACAUUGGCUAUGACCAAAUAUUAUUCUUUCCCAGAUAUCACGCUCCAAGAAACUUUUAUGGCGAGGAGUAUAUACACACUUGCAAACAUUUCCAACAACCCACACUCAAUAAUGCACACAAACUCAUCAUUACAAAAUUCAAUGCCCAAGUGCUUGGCUUCAUUCCAUCUUUCACACAUAAAACACACAUCAAUGAAAAAAACACAUUUGUCACUUUUCCCUAUGAAGGAAUCUCACAUAUUCAACUCCUGUUGGAAAAAAGCAAUUAGAAAGAGAUAAAUUGGAAAAAGAAAUCGACCGGAAAGGGUUGCGGCAUUUAACGAGAAAGCCUGAUC